AAUUUAUCACGAAUGAAAUGACAAUCUAUUUCUAUAUGUUUAUUCUUUCAUGAAAAGUGGGUUUGAAGCAAUAUGGAUGGGCAAACUUGAUUAUCACAAUAAUAUCAAUGCAGAGGUGUAACUUUAACUUGAAGGUUUUCCAACAACUGAUGAAUCCAUAUUAUUCACUUGAAAAGAUGCUAGUGCUCGAUAUUCUGCUUCUGCAGAUGAUCUGGGAAAUUCGUAUGUUGCUUCUUAGCUUUCCAUGAAAUCAAUGAAUCCAAGAAUACACAGAAAUCAGUGAAGACUUUAGUAUCCAAACAUGAACCCCAAUCAGGCAUCACAAAAAGCCUUUAGUUGAAUAGGAAGAUGAAGAUGGAAACAUAGACUGGGCCAGGAUUGGUUUUGAGGAUCUAGGAGGUGGUGGCUGCCUGCAAAUGGGAUAAGCGAGGUUUUAGCCACACAUGGCUUAACUUGUGAAUAGCAACGUAAUAUCAUGUCUGGAUAAAUUGAGAUAAGUAGACGACCAAUGAGUCGUCUAUACUGAGAAACAUCAUGGAAAGCUCACCUCAUAACAUUAAUUUUGGCUUUAGGAUCAUUGGCGUAUUACGGUUUACAUGCAAGAAACUGUGUCUCAAGCACUUGAAGUGUUAAGCCUUGAAAAAGAACAAGUCUUUUGAUAGAUUAGCAAGUUCAAAAGACAACGAAAAUAUUUCAAACUCCCAAGGUCUUUAAGUUUAAAAACUGACUGUGAAGAAAAGUUUUCAGGCAUUAUAAUCGAGAGUUUGGUCCAGUGAUGCUUAAUCAUCCCCAUAAACCAAUAAGGCUACAAAUGAAGAUCAGAUCAUUUGGUAAACAAUGAAUCAUCAGCGUUUGAUGAACAAAACCAAGAAUGAAUAGUGUCUGCGAGAAUUUUGAUACCAUUGUAUAGAAGCUUGCUUGUAGUCCAUAUCUAGACUUAUGGAAGUUGACGCAAUUGAUCUCCCCCUCCUUUUCGACCAAACCAAGAGAAGAUUCAGAUCGAUUCUUCAAAGAAAUUUAUCUAUUUAGAAUGGAUUGUUGACAUCAGUGAACUAAAUGCCAUUUGUGACUUGUUGGCAAGUGCAAGUAGAACUUUGACAGUAACUAAUUUGGCUACAGGGAAAAGUCUCUAUGAAAUUAAGACCUUCUGGUUGAUUGUAUCCUUAGCAAAAAUAAUCGAGCUUUGUGCCUUUCAAUAGAACCCAUAGAUGUAUUGAUCUUAGAUCCAUUGCAGCCAAUAGAUUGUUCCUUAGCCAGAGAUACAAUAAGACCGGUUUUGUUCAAUUCCACUGCAUCCAGUCUUCUUCAUUGCAAUCCUCAACUUGGAAAUUUGACAGCUGAUGAUAAAAAUUGAGGUUCAUUACUGAGAGAAUAGGGCAAUCACAAAGUUUUAUGAUAUGGAGAUAAAGAAUCAUAUGACAAAAAUUUGCUAAUGGGAUAAAUUGUUCAUUAGCAGGUAUACUCAUGGAGAUAGCAUGCUGCAAUGAAAAUCUUGAGGAAAGAUGGUGGUUUAAUAAUCCUUGAAACUUUCGAAUGGAAAAUAUCAGUGGUAGGGAAUGGUAUCAUCUGUUUGUUGAAUAAUGUCAAUGAGAUUUGGAUAUGAAAGUUGAUGCAUCAAGAGUGAUAUGUAUCUGACUGAUGAUUAUUAGAGAUAUAUAUGUGAUAGAAGCUGAUUGUUAGAUUCAUUGUGGAAACAUCAAGAGAUGGCAUGCAGAACAUUAUCAGGAAAUGGAUCAAUUACUCCUCUGAACUGAGAACAGUAUGAAAGGGAAAUAUCUUUCAUGAAAAAUGACAUCUCUGGAAACAAAUAUUGUUCGAAUUAAUAUCAUACAAUUUGUAACCCUUUAUGCCAGGGGGACUCCAAUUAGAACAACAACUCUUGAUCUUGGCUGGCCAUUUGAGUUCUAGGUACAGAAGUAGAAGAAGAAAUGCCAAAACAUCAAAAACUCUAAAAAUUGGAAUAAUCAACAGUAGUUGUGUAUAAUAGUUCAUACGGAGUUUGAUUUGAAGUAAAGGAGAUGGUGUUCUGUUUAUAAGAAAGACUUGCAGUGCGAACACACUCAUUCCAAAAACUGAAUAGGUACCCUGGAUUGGAAGUACAAUGCUCUGAAGCUACAUUGGAGCAAAGGUUGUGUUCUUUCCACAACUGAAUUUUGUUGUGGUGUAUUCAACACAUGACACUGAUGUAAUACUCCUAGCUGUUGAAGAAAUUUUUGGAAUUCCAAUUCUUGGGCAUAUUAGACCUAAAAGUCUUGAUCUUGCAUGAACUGAGUUUUAUCAAAUGCAUUUCAAAAUUUACGUCACUAUUUCUUAGGCAUAUCCCCACAUGAAUUUUGGUAGAUCAGAAUAACUCAUUAUAGAUAUCACCAUAUCUAAAAGACUCUGCUUUCUUCUUUCAACAACACCAUUCUUUUAAGUGGUAAAUUCUAUAAUUUGUUAUUCAACUCAGUAUCAUAUAUCUCAUACAUCUUAGGAGUAAUUAAAUAAAGAAUGUCUACUA
rnacentral:lncRNA from 1 species